CAUCACCUCUGUUCCAUUUCCUCCUUGCUCCUCCACUGAGUUCCCAUCCCAAACCUCCUCCUAAGACAGCAAGACCCUUGGUGUGGUCAUACCAGCCCAUCUCCCAAACUCACUGAAACUCUGAGUUGUACCUGAACCUCUCUGGCUCCUCCCAGGUCUGUCACAAAUGAAGGUGACAGCAAGGUCUCUCAGCUAAGAGCUCAGGUUGCAAUGAUAGAGGAAAGAAAAAUAUUGAAACUGGAAGACUGAGGACUAGUCAUUGUUGAGAAGUGGAAAUCCAGGACAUGUGAGACCCCUGAAAGUGAUCCCACUGCCCCCAAGGAGCACUUAGCACUUUCAGGGCCUGAACUGACCAGCAGAAUACAUUUCUGGUAUUGAGGGGGCUGGCAAGGGCUGGCAAGUGCUAUGUCCUGCUUUAACAGACUUGAUGCAGGGUUGCUCAAAAUCAGAAGAAUGGGAAUUCUCUAAUUUUAUCUCUGAGCAGUAUCUCGGAUGCCAGUACCCCAGACUGUCAGGUAUGUGGGCCCAACAUUAACUCCUGCUGAUGUUCAGCCCUGACAAUGAUCCCAACACAGCAGUGUUUGUGGCUGACACUGCAGACAGGUGCCAGCAGGACUCCUGUCAUGCCCCAUCAGAGCUAAGAGAGGUCCACAGGACACUGGCCAUCCACCUUCCAUGUUCUCCACAGACAAAGAAACACACAAAGACACCUGCCACGUUCUUUUGUCUUUUUUUUUUUUAAUUAUUCCUUCAUAUUCAAACUUCACAAACAGUGUGAACUUGUACAAUACCUCAGAAAGUGAAACUUACAAAAAAAGUGCUGGUAACAUUAAAAAAAAAAACAAAAAAAAAAACAAACAUCAUUCUUAGCAACAUCAAUUACUCUUCCACACAAAACAGAAACCUUGUAAAAUUUAUUUCCGUAUUUUUUUAAGGCGUAAUACUUCCGUAUAAAGUAUAUGCAAGAGAUAAAACUUCACAGUAUUCCAAAAUGUCACAAUAAUAAUAAUAAUAAUAUAGUAUAAUGAAGCGCUACAGUUAAUUUUCUUUUUUUAUUUUUUUUUUUUCCUGUUUUAAAUAACAAAUACAAGUCACAGGUAAAUAUACGUGAGAAAAAUACGAGGCUAAUAUUAAAUGGCAGGUAAGGAUACUCUCACUGUAAGAAAAAACUGGCAGGAUGUGUGUAUUUAUUCUAUAUUUUAAAGCACUUGAUAGAAAAGGCGUAUGCAAGGUAUUUUUUUUUUUUUAAGAAUUUUCUAUUUGCUUGUUUUUGAUAACUGACAUACCAUUUACAGAGUAUAAUGAGAGAAAAAAAAGGAACUUAACCCCUCAAAACUUUCGACCUGCUCUUCACAUCAUCACAAACCGUGUUUCUGGAGAGAUGCCUGUACAGCUGUGGGGUGUGUGUGUGCGCACAGCGGUGCGUGCAGGGCUGUGCGGGUGGGCGGCUGUCUCAUCACACGGGCAGAGAUCCAUGUCCUGCGCGGGGACCUCUGCCAGCUGAGGCCAAAUCCUCCUGCCUCCACCUUGGCAGGACAAUGCCCGUGGUCAUCGCCACUGGCUGCCCGCACAAAGACUUUAGGAUUUAGGCCUGGGUGCGGUUUCCCAUUCACUCGGCAUCUAUUGACUGCUGGGAAUUCCUUUGGCCCCAAGAAGAAAAUGUCCAAUUUUUACUUUUUACAUCCGCACACGAGAGCGUGCGCUCUCCCCUCCACCGUUUAGCUCCCAUCCACGCCACAGAGCAAAGACCAACUGGGGAACCCCCAUCUGGGUCCCAGCCAGCACCACGAGGAAUGGGAAUGUGGAUGGAUGUGCCUGUGCAGCGUUCUCCGCAUGGCCCUGCCCGUGCUCACAGCAGCCACUCGGCCCAAGGGGAACAAAAAGACAGCAGAUAGCAUUAACACAUCAGUAAGGUGCUCAAAGAAAAAAAGGCAGCUCCCACUCCUGGAAUGGGAAGCCACAUAAGGUGCUUCAAAAAGUUUUUUUUUUCUUUUUUUUUUUCUUUCUUUUUUUUUUUUUUUUUUUUCAGUUUCAGACAUUUUAAAAAAAGGACUGAUUGAGUAUGUGGUACGUGAGAGCAAGGCCGAGAGUUUUGAGAUUUCUGACAUCCUCCAUAAAUAAGCGCUUCCUCAGGGCAGGAUGCAUUUUUGUUUGCUUGCUUUGUUGUUUUUUGUUUGUUAUCUUUGUGGUAAUUAGUUUAGAUGCAAUUUUAUUUUCGUAUAAACCAAAAAAAGUAACAAACCAACCCAAUAUGUAAAUUAGGGUUUAAAAUCUAACUGUGUUAUUGGGCUGAGUUUUUGUUUUUCUUUCUUUUUUUUUGCCCAUUCAUUCAUUUAGCACCGUUCCUUUUUAUUCCGGUUACAACCCAAUUCCUUCUGUAAUUAUUGAACGUACAGAAAGGACCAAGUAGUUGUUUUUAUGUUUUGUGAUCUGUUUCAAGAGCCCAACCGUAAUUCCUCUGCUGCUGCUGUGUUUGUGUAGCAUCUGGUUUCAUGAGCUUAAGGAGAAAGGUUAGUCUGCUGAUAUUUAAGGUUGACAUGUGUGUUUGUAUGCAUACACAUUGUUCUAUACAUACACACUGCAUGGAGUACAUUGGAACUGGAGAUAAAGUCAACUGGGUUCAAACACAUAUGCACUGUCUUCCCCUAUGUAUUUGAAACAGUCUGGAGCUUUGAUUUGAUUUCUUGUUUUUUUAAAGUGCAUUUAAAGCAAAAUAACUGGCAUUCACAUACCCCAUGGAAAACAUGAUUGCAGUGGAAAGCAUGACCAUGCUAAACUCCUUGGACUUGACAAUGCCAAAAGCAAAUGGGGCAGUGACAGGCCUCGGUGUAGGCAGCUAUUCUUGGGCAGCACCAUUGGCAAGGAGGGAAGGCAGGAGGUGGUGGAAGGGAAAUUGCUUUAGAGGUUGAAUAUUUGAACUGUUUCCAAUUCUGACACAGCUGUUUCAUUCCCAAUACAGCUUUCUUUAUGAUGAUUAAUGACCUCUGUCUUAUGGAUGUACCCAUCUGACUCUCCCUAGUUCUGUCUUUUAUCGUGUGUGUGUGUGUCCCAAGUGCCAGCAUCAAUUAGGUAUAAGGCACUGUUAAAAUUACAGUUUUACAAAAGAUGCAAAAUAAUCCAACCCUAACAAUCCCAACUGCCCACACUGGUCUCCUCCCCCUCCUUCCCUUUUCCGGGGGCAGAUAUUGCAUGUGAUGUCUAUUCUUAUGUUCUCUAAAUGUGUCAAAAGUAGGCUUUGGACAAAUGUUUUAAGUCCAUCAGCACCAAAGAUGGGUAGGAAUGCACCCUUUCUCUUGUAUGCAUGUGCACACAUGCAGACUUGUUAACUGGGAGAGGUGGAAUAAUGGCACCAUUCCCAUGCUGCUCCUCUCUGGCUUUAGAGCCAAGCUGAAAAAAUAAACUUCAAAUACCCCAUCCACAAUGUUUACAUUUACUGGAUCAUUUAUGGAAGCAAUUGAGGGGUUUUUCAUUCCACCACCCAGGUGCUACAGGUUUUACAGGUGGAUUUCUGGAAGGGCAAGCUCCAGGAAAGCCUGCAUGGAGCUUCCUGCUCUGCAGGGAAAGAGCACAGGUGGGUGCCCACCCUUGGCUUUACCUGCUGGACAGACAGACAUGGCUCAGGCUACUUUGCACUGAUUCUUACAAUCAGAAAAGCUUCUCCAGCAAAUUUGGCUCCUCAGGGACACUGACUGUGCAGUGGGCAAGUGUGCAGAGAAGCUGUGUGGCAGUUGGGUCCCUGUCUUUGCCCAUGGGCAGCUGUGGAUUGCGAGCUGCUUUUCCAUUGUGCCAACGUGUUUGUUUCUCUCCAUGGUUCUGAUGUGGGAACAAGCGAUGUUCCAGUAACUGGGUGGGGUUUAUUUGCCCUAACAACGCUGCAGUCAGCCCAUCAUAAUGUGCAUUGGCAGCUAGUAUAUCCUUCUGUUGCUAAAAUGUCCAUGAACUACCUUCCCUGUGCCAGGAUCCCACUGGCUCUUCUCACCUUUCACCAAAGGCUAGGGCUGCCUCAUUAAGUAGAGUAUAGUUGAAAAUGAGAAAAGCAAGCAGACAGUAAGGGUAAUAGCAAAGAAAACGUGAGACCAGACAGUCCAGCAUUUAAGUUCUAGGCUAGUCACUUUAGCCACCAUCAUCAAAAUGGACUGAGAUUAAAGGAGUCUAAACUGCUAUGGACCGGGUUUUUGUAAGUGACACAAACCUUGGGAGGGAAAUGAGUUGCCUUUUUUUUUCUUUUAGUGGUUUAAGUCAUCUUGAUAAGGCCACAAACUGCAUUUGUCUUGUCAAUGUGACUACUUGAAAACGGCAUGAAUUGAAAUUGAGUGAGUGCUUCACAAAGCUAGGAUUGAAAUGGGAGAGAAGAGCCACCACAUGCUCACUACGGCUGCACUGUAGGACAGAGGAGCGUCUGAGGAGGUGGUGGUGGAGGGUGUCUCCUUGGGAAGACCUGCUACGUGUGGAAAGGGAAAGGAGCUCAUAGUAUCUCCCAGCUCCCCUUCCUCUCACCACCACCUUACUGUUUUGCUGGAUACCUAUAGACAAGUAGCACUUCUAAAGAGCCUCCUCCUCCUGUUGUCUCUCACAUGUGUAAGUUGGGGAAGGGGAGGAGGCUGGUAUAAUUACAAAAGGGGAAAAAGAAGGCACAUGAUUUUACUCAGUCCUGACUGAACCCACAUUUUGAAAGCAAGGGCAGUUUAGGUGGAGGGCAAAAAAGUGCUCAGUGGAGCGGGUGCUCACUGAGAAGAAAUCUCAGGGCAAAGGAAGCGGGACAAUAAAAAGGAAAGGCAGGAGAAAUGAAGGCCACAUUCAGCUUUCUGUCUGCUUGACAGUCUCAAGAUUUGGCUGCAUUAUUGUCCAGGAAGGAAAAGAGUCUGGUUGAUCUCAAAUGUAGCCCAGUUACAUAUCUCCAGUUUCUGUUAUGGCUGUUGGUGUCUUCCUCUUUCUCUUUUCUCCAGUCCCAUGAAUACUUGGAGCACUGCUUUAGUUUUUUAAGCCUGUUCUUCAAACACUGAGAACAUGGCAUACCUCUUUGGUCACCCUCAGCCUCUACUCCUCCUCAAAUCCAGACCAGUGAUCAAAAUGAGUAGUGUUCCCCACUGGUCACUCCCACUGCUGGGGUGCCCAAGAAGGUUUGACCAGUGAUGGAAAAUGCAAACCAACCUCAUGGUUUCAGUGGGGUUGGUGAGUUUUUCACAAAAGCCUCUGGCAGGAUGAGGGCACUAAACUAAGGGAGUUGUUGACUGAGAAACAGAUGUCAUUUACAGAGGUCAUUAUGAGCAUCAUGUCUCUCAGUCACUUUCUCCUUGCACACUGCCACAUCCAGGUACCAUAAGUUUUCUGUCUCCUCCAGUGACUGCAAGCCUUUCUCAUUCCUGUGAUAGAUGGGAGAAGGAGUAGAGCUGAUGGUCCAGCUUUAGAAUUCCAAAACACUGUUUCCUAAUUUUCCCCCAAGUCUCUGAGUCAAAAAGGCAUUCAGUUUCUCUCUCCCUCUCCUGCCAUCCCCUCCAAAUUUGCUCAGGAGAUCAUAAGGCAGAGUAAUGAGAAGUAGGAUCACCAACAGCUCUAUGAAGACACAGGGUGGUAAAAUGCUUCCCUACAAACUCACAGUCCAGUGUUUGUGACAUUUCAUAAAUAACUUUUUUUUUUUUAAAAAAAAGAAUAACACAAGAACAAUCCCUUUACUUACUCAUCUGAAACAAAAUAAACAGCAGUGGCUACAAACUUCUUCUUGUAACAAUUACAAAAAAACUCCCAACAAUACAAUUCCCCAACUUUUAACACGCGCCUUGAAUGUUUUUUUUAAUGUUAAACCUCAAAACUGCAGCAUAUCCUUAAGGGCAAACUUUUCAAUUAGUUUUUUCUUUCUUUUCUUUUUUUUUUUAAAUAAUGUGUUCACCAAAAAGAAAAAAAAAAUUCCACAAAACAGUCUUGUACCAAGAAAAUGCAUUCAAAAAUAGAAAAUACUACACAACAAAAAUAUGUACCCUUCCUUUCCAAAAGAGUCUUCACAAAAAUGUAGAAAAAUGCCAACCAUUGUUUUUCCUUUCCUGAACACUUAACUUUCAAUCUAGGGCACAAUUAUUUAUUGACUUAUAAUGUCUGUUUUUGCAUAAAAUAUGGAAGAUAAAAACCAACUAUCAGGACUGUGAAGUUACAAACAACACCUCAUUAUUCUCCCCACCCCACAUUCCCUCCUUAGAAAACAAAACAGAGAAAGCCAAAGUUUCAACAACUGAUUGAAAGUCGUCAGGUUAGGGAAACCCAUCAGCUGAUACGGGGAUUCGAAGAUGCUGGCAUAACAGGAAAAUCAUCUGUCUUUUAAAAUGUAUGCUUUUUGCAUUCAUCUCAACAAGUCUCUGCCCUGCUGUUCUCAAAUGACCAGGCACUAUGGCAUCAGGACACUGCUGGGCACAGAAAGAUCUGGGAAAGAAUUUGGGGUCAGGAGCCCAGGGACCGCACAAGGGUGUGUGCGUGCACGUGGCGUUUCACUUGCAAAGAACUCCUUCCAUUUUGAAAGACAGAGAGGAUGUUUCCAUAUGCCUUAAAAGUGCAAGGGCCAUUUCUGGAUCAUAGUAGUUAAAUAUGCAAAAGUUUUAGUAUGCUUAAUAGUCAAGUCCAUUUUUCUGGCAAAGACAAGCCAGAGACAGAUCGCAUCAGCUCACGGCUGGGAGUGGGUAACAGCUGAAAGCUGGUAGGCAAAAAGUGUCACACCAAGGUGCAUCCAGAACUGAUUUAUUCAGUGGGAAAGUGUUUUGCCUACCUUGAACAAUGUUCAAGGGAUAUUAUGCGAUUAACACAGCCAAAAGACCAACUGUUUUGACAGCAAAAGACUCUAGCAGUGGGGAGUUGGGUACUAUGGGGAAGGCAGCUGUAUCUUGCACGCAUGUGGCUAAAUCCAUCCUCUGUGUACCUCCUUUGACUUCAUUGCAAUAACAUCUGCUUGCACCAAGGAUGAAUUUGCCCCAUGUGGUUUUGGAUUUUAUGCCUGUAGGCCAUAGAAGGCCUGUAGAAGCCCAACCCUCCAGAAUACUGUGCUAGAAUACUCCAGAUGGCAGAGCUAGAAUCAAAAAGGCUUCUCUCUUCUUCUGUUUGAGAUUGUUUUCUUUCUAGCAUAUCUUUUAAAGGAUGCUUCCGUAACAAGAAGGAAGAGGGGAGCUUUUUCUUAGCCUUUUCCACUGCGUGGCUGUGUGUUUUCCUUUUUUCAAAUGGCAAAAUGUGUUUGUGUUUACUUCCAGUGCAUUUUUUUUUUUUCAAAAAUUCAAAACAAAAAGGAAACAUUACUUUUCCCAUCCUUCAAAAGGAAACAAAACCAAAACAGACCGAUAAAGUACAAUACAAUAAAAAUCAGGCAUUAUAAAAGACAACAUGAUGUGCAACAGCAAUACCAAAGAAACAAAAAUAAAAAAUAUAUAUAUAUAUAUUAGGAUACAGGUACGAAUGAGCCAAGAAAGCUAUCUAACCCCACUACUGGAUGAUUGGUAAGCAUUGGUUAAGAAAUACGUAAGGCUAUUCUGAGAUUUCUAACUUAACACAGUUAACCACUGCUUCUCUCACACCUUCACUUCCUAAAUUUUUCACCUUUCACUCACUGGUCUUUUAUGUCUUGAAACUGAAUUUUUUUCCUUUUCAUAUUUUUUGGUCUACAGUAGAAUUACAUGUUAAUAACAACAACAAAACAAAACUCAAGCUUGUUGUGAGAGUUAAGUUGGUGCCACAUCCAUGAUGCAGAAGAAAGAAGACAGACAACAGAACAACUGCAUUCAGCUUUUCACACACAAAGCAUAUUCAAGGGCAACAGCAUAGCUGACCAAAACAAGUUUGGAGGGGCAAGCAGCAGAAGCUCUAGGUUUACAACUACACCACCAACCAGAGCCUGGUCUUUCACCUUUACCAAUGUCCUUGAGGACAACAGUAGCUCAGUUGCCAUGUGGCUUUGCCAUUCCCGUCAUCUGGAGCUUCAGCUAACCUGACAUUACUUCACCACUAAAUGCACACUUGGUCCGAUGGAAAACCAAAAGGAAAAGAAAAGGCAAAAUGCUCCUAGCUGAGGCCAAGUGUAUCUUUUGGUCACCUUGGCUGAUGUGACAAAUCCUCAGCCAUGGGGAUACCGGGAUCAGUGAGAGAGGGCAUCUGGCUGGCAGGUCAUUGGGAAGCAGUUUUGAAGAGAACUCAGACUGUCUAAGGUGAUGUGGCAGUUGCUUAACCUCCUCCAUUAGGGGAAAAGUGAUGAACACUGACAGGUUACCCUAAUUCCAUUAGUAUAAAUUCUCUUAGCUCAUAGCGGGGAUGAGAAAGCAUACACUCUGUGCUGCUUUGGAAUUGCCUUUGUAAAUGUCAGCAUCACCAGCCACCAGAAAUGCAUUCUCUACAAACAUGGCCACAGCACCGUGACUGAAGCUCCAUAGUGAAUUCUGGUAUUUUUUUUCUGUGGAACUCCUGAAACGUAACAUUUUCCUCAAGGGUAAGCUCUGAAAUUACUAUAAUGCUGAAAAUAUCACUCGCAUUUUCUUGAACCAUAACUAUGCCACAGUCCCAGCAAAAGUCAAGCUGAUCCUCAGUAGUGCUUGUCAAUGUUGAGGAAUGGAACAUACAGAAACAAGAUGAUCAAACUGUACAGGGAAGUUCUGUUUUGGAUCUAGCCCACUGGCCAAAGGGAUUUUUGUUCAGGAGAAAAGGUGCAACAAUGAAGCAGGAUGACAAAUGGAGGAGAAUUAUGGAAGUUAGUGUUUCUCCAUCUGGAGAAAAAAAAUAGGGCAUUACGCGGCAUCUCUAGUCAGCAACAUAUGUUUUGGCUUCUUAAAAUAAACCUCAAGUUAUCCUUGGUUUCUCAGUCAAGCACUGUCUACAUGGGGCUAUAGUACCAUGCUGAAAAAAAUAAAAGAAUUUGUGCUAUAUUUAAAUGUAGUUCCAGUUAAACUAGUUUCAAACUGACCAUGCAAAAAGGAACAACUUGUUUAAAAGCCAUUGAAACUAUACAAUCAUGCUUAUGCCCAGGAACUUGUAUGGUUGAGCACUGUAACCAAGUGCAAACAAGAAAUUUGGCUUUUAAAAAAUGGUUUGUUUCCUGGUUACAUGGACUAGACAGUUCAGUUGAAACUGAGUCAGCUGGAAUCAGGUUUGAACAGGCUGAAUUCAAACAUGGAUUUGGAGCAUGGCUCAAAGCCCACUUUUUCAGGUUGCAGUACUUUUAAAAAACUAGUGCAAAUGGCAUCUUAUCACAGCAUUGCAAACAUGCAGUGUUCCUCUCCUUGUCCAAAUAUGGUUGCCAUCAGGUCACACCACAAGGGAGGAAUAUGCAGCAAUCAGCCAGCCGGAACAGCUCAACCUACAGAAGUUCUUUAUUUUACCACAGCAGGAAAGGCACUCUGGACACAGCAGGCUCAGUAAACCCUCAGCUUCACUUUUUUUUCUGGAGCAGUCCACUACUCCUCUUUGACAAUGCAAAUCCACUCUGACAGUAGCAAUAUAUGCAGCUGCCUUAAACAAGGAAACAAAGGAAAACUCACCUAAGCAAAAAACAGGAGUAUUGGCUCAUUACAUGAAUUAACUUCAGCAGACAGACUUCAUUUCCUCCCAUAUCACAGCUCUGUAGCUGUGGAAGCAAAUGCCACUUUACAAAAUAAAGGUGCUCUCCUGCCUCUGUAUUAUGCUGGCUCUCAAAUGAACUGUGCUUUUGUUGGACAUCCACCGACUCAUUACUGGAAGUUGACCUUCCAGUGGUUUUCAUCUCAGAGGGUUCCUGCAGAUGACAAAUAAACAGGCUUCUUGUUCCACUGUCCUGCUUACUUUCAAGGGAAGAGUCAUUCAGUAGUUAAUCUAACAGUACAUCAGGGCGUAUCUCCAGUUCUUCUCUUCCAGUCCUUUCAAGCCAGGAUGGCUGGAAUCUAAGAGUGGAAAUCUAAAAGCUCACCAGAACAACACAUCCUUAACUCCAAAGUCUCUCCUGGUUCCAGACUUGUUCCAUCCCAUCCAACACCUGUCUCUUGCAUACCACUCCUUCUCUAGUUCUUGACACUUUUGUCAAAUGAGGCAACCCAAGAGACUGAGCAGCAGCAAUCUGCUUUGCAUUGUGCACUCUCUGAAAGGUCUGUACUACCCAUGUCUUGGUACUAAUGAAACCAAAAUACCUUAGUUUUAAAUCUAAGCCAAAAUUCUGGACAUGAAUAGAUUUCUAGUCCCCCAAUUGCUCUAGCCUUUUCUUAGCAAUUGGGUAAGUACCUCCCCUUUUUUGACCAUGAAAUCCUGUGGUACAUUAGACAGAUGAUUCCUCCACUACAGGACCAAAGUGGAUGCACUCAUGUUUUACAUUUUUCUCCCAGUUUCUCUACUGAAUAUUUUUCAGGAUCCUGUUUUACCAUCUGGCUAAAGUUACAAUUAUAGUCUUACUGAUGAGAUUCGACACAAACUUUUGAGAGUUCACAGAUCACAAAGAGCUACAGCAGAGAUGGAUCUUGCUGCACAUUGCUACUGUUUUUGUUUUUCUCAUAGUUUACUUGUUACAAAAUUAAUGACCAAGGUCAACAUGCAUCUUGACUGUAAAAAUACUUUCCAGCUCAGGAUUCCAUUUGGUUCCAGCUGAAAGCCUUCAAAAUGCUAGACUAUCUGUUAAAGGAGAGAAAUCAGAGAGAAGAACUGAAAAUACUAGACAGCACCUUUGCCUGAGCAGGAAUAUUUCUGUAUAUACUGAAUUCCACACCACCCUUUUUUUGCCCAAAUGCCCCUCCUGCUUCUUCUACCCCAAAGGCUUGACUGGAACACCUGUAAUUGAGUGUUCAGGAUGACUGUUUAUUGCACUGUUCCCAUAACAGCCUCGGAAAGACGUGCUUCAUUUCAGUGACCUUCCCCUUUGGUAAAGUCUGCUUUGUGACUUCACUUCUUGAGCUGAGAGAUCCUGCUUUUACUGAAGGGAUGCUAAUCAUAGUCAAACCUCUGCAAGAGGUUCUAUCCAACAAUUCCAGUUUUGACAUUGGAACUGGGAAUUUGUGUCUUUAUGGUGAAGCCUUACGCUGGUUUACACAAUGAGCAGUUCUCUUAACUUCCUCACAGCCCUGAAGAACACUCUCUACAAAAAGGGGAAAAAAGAUCUGUAGCACCCAGAAACUUCUGAUGCCUCUUCAGUUUCUAUUAUAGUGCUUUAUUUAUUUAUUUUAACAGAAGGUAUCCAAUACAGCUGUCUCAGUGUCUGACUAGUUGCUUAAAAUUAAGGUGACCUCACUUCUCUUUCAACCUGGUCAGGUUUAUGGUACAUCCUGUUUUCUGUGCCUAUCCCUUUCUCUUCUCCCUUCCUGCUUAAUUGGCCCCUUUCAAUCCCACCACAUGUAAAUACAUUUCAGUAGUGCAAUGCAGUGCAGUGCAGUCAUACUUAGUGCAAAAAUAAAAAGCCUUAUCCAGACCAAAAAAGCACAAACUCCCCAUCCCACCCAGCCCCCAAGAAAUCAGCUCUCUGUUAAAGUAUAUGAAUGCCCCUAAGCAAAGGGGGAUUUGCAGUCUCCCAGCCACACUUUCAUAUGCCUUGUUUUCUCUCCUCCCAGCUGAUGUGGAGAUCUCAUUAACCAAUAGGACAUUUAUCAAAAACAAAUUCAAAUGACAGAAAUCAGAAAGGAGACAAGCCAUUGUUUGGGGGCUGCAGAAAGAAGAGAGAACUAAAUGGAUACAGCAAAAAAAGGUCAGUAGUGGUUUUACACAAAGUCGCAAGGGUACGCCUUGCAAAGGGCAUGCGUGUGGAUAAAAAAACCUAAAAAGCUUCCCUGUUCCAAAUAUACAAUCCCUAUUUUAACAGUGCCCAAGCUAAGGUUCUGUAGUGCAAUCAGCUUUUCAAAAUGGCAGCUCUGUGGCCACCCUAAAACAAUUGGACAGAUCAACACUAACUUCAGUUUUCUCCUGCUCACGUAGGUACACACAUGCGUGAACAGUUCCCCUCCAUCCUGCAAAUACUUGGAGAUAUAAAGUAUUUUUUUUCACAGCCCAUCUAGGACUAUGGUGGGAAAAGCAGGAAUUUCAAUGACAGGCAUAUAAGCUCUUAGGUACCUCAAAAUGAAAACUUAAAAGGAAGACAAAAUAAAGCUCACUAAUUACAAAGGCAAGCAGGUUACUGAAUCCAAAUCAGAUCAUACCUCCCCUAGCUUAUCUGUCUCUUUUAACAAAAUAAAACAUCUGCCAGGGCCUGCCACUCGUUAAGAUAUCACUUGGGAAAACACAACAAAGACUUUGGAGUAUUCACCAGCUAGGAGGUUAUAACUUCAAUUUGGACAGCCACAAGAGCCUCCAUCAAACUCUUGUAGCUACUGGAAAGCAGUGUGGGGAACCACUAAAGCAGUGUAGGAGGCCAUAACAGGGAAGGAGGAGCAAGAAAAGUAAAUGUCUGAAAAAUGGAACACAUCAGGGCAAUGCUGCUGCUGCUCUACUAAUCUAAUUGUAAUUGCUCAGUAUAUAGAACAAUACUGCAUGCUGCUUCAUUUGGGCUCAGGCACAUGCUUCCUCUUAACCUUCUGCCUCUUCCCUCCCAGUCCCUUGCUGAAAAUGGCAGCCCACCCCUGAAUGUAAACAAAAGCAAAUACCAACAGAUAAACCAAAUUACAACCAAGAAGCAAUUUUCUCAUUUUUCUUUCUGUUAUAAAGAUACUGUGUCCCUCCCUCCAGGCAGGUGUACUGUUUCAUCCACAUGCACAGAAACAAGGAAAGAACCUACAAGAAAGAAUCUAAAUAAGGGUGCAGGGAACCUGAGUAUCUACCUCUAAACCAGAAAAAUGCCAGACUGCAAGGACUUUUGCUGUUUAUCUUUACCAAUGAGCCUGUAAUGAAAAAGAAAGAGCACAUAAUGGAAUCACUAGGCAUGGGCAAAGGGACAGCACCUAAACCCAUAUCUCUGGGUGCAGAGCUACAGUGGUGCAUCCCAUGCCUGAACAUACAUGAGACACAAAACAAGUAGCACUUGCCAGCUCUUCUGUAAAGUCUACAAACUUCAAUUUAGCCACUAUAAUCAGCAGCAAUGAAUUUUUUUGCUGUUCAGCUGUAUGUACUUCAAGGGGGUCCUACUUUUUUGACGAAAUACUGUUCACGCUAUCUAUUCUCCUGCACACCCAAUGCAGUAGCACUUUU